GGGUUUGGGGCUCUGCGGUUUCGCCCCCAGGGUUCGGGCGGGCGCCGGGGUGACAGCGGUGGCUGGGGACGGCCAGGGGGGCACCGCAGCCCGGAAAGCCGGGGCCGAGGCCGCCCCUCGGCGGCGACGCGGGACAAGCCGCCUUGUUGCGCCGUGCCUCGGUUUCCCCGCGCAGAGCGUCGGGAUGGGGCUGGCGCCGCUGGAGCCCUGGGGUGGCCGCGGAGCCCCGAGGAUCAGUGGGGGGGGGGGAGGUCGCGGCCCCACGUGCCCCCUUGUCAUGGCACAGCACCCUGGGGCGCCCCACAGCACCCAGCCGGCACCCGCCCGGAGAGUGCCCCACGGCACAGCACGGUGUCACCAAGAGCUCGUCCCUGGCACGGCACAGCACCAACGGGUGCCCCACGGCACAGCUCAUUGCCCCCAAGUGUUUGCCCCCAGCAUGGCACAGCACCCCUGGGUGCCCCACGGCACAGCUCAGGACCCCCAAGAGCUCGUCCCUGGCACAGCACAGCACCCUUGGGUGCCCCACGGCACAGCUCAGGACCCCUAAGAGCUCGUCCCUGGCACAGCACCCCCGGGUGCCCCCUGGCACGGCUCAGGACCCCCAAACGUUUGACCCCAGCACAACACAGCACCCCUGGGUGCCCCACGGCACAGCUCAGGACCCCCAAGGGCUCAUCCCUGGCACAGCACCCCCGGGUGCCCCCUGGCACGGCUCAGGACCCCCAAAUGUUUGACCCCAGCACGGCACAACACCCCUGGGUGCCCCACGGCACAGCUCAGGACCCCCAAGAGCUCAGCCCUGGCAUGGCACAGCACCCCUGGGUGCCCCACGGCACAGCCCAGGACCCCCAAGAUCUUGUCCCUGGCACAGCACCCUGGGGUGCCCCACGGCACGGCGCAGCACCUUACCCCUACAGCCCCCCCAUGGCGCUGCUCCUGCCCCGGUGCCGGGGCGCUGCGGGGGCCGUGGGGCAGGAGGGCCCCGCUCUGCCCCCCCAGCCGGCGGCCCUGGCCCGGCCGCCCGCCCCGGCGCACCCGGGCUUCCCGGGCACGUAG
rnacentral:lncRNA from 1 species